rnacentral:rRNA from 1 species
CAAUAGCGUAUAUUUAAGUUGCUGCAGUUAAAAAGCUCGUAGUUGGAUUUCGGGUGGGAAUGGCCGGUCCGCCGUUUCGGUGUGCACUUGCUACGCCCACCUUGCUGCCGGGGACGUGCUCUUGAGUUCACGCUCGGGACGCGGAGUCGGCGAGGUUACUUUGAGUAAAUUAGAGUGUUCAAAGCAGGCCUACGCUCUGAAUACAUUAGCAUGGAAUAACACGAUAGGACUCUGGCCUAUCUUGUUGGUCUGUAGGACCGGAGUAAUGAUUAAGAGGGACAGUCGGGGGCAUUCGUAUUUCAUUGUCAGAGGUGAAAUUCUUGGAUUUAUGAAAGACGAACUACUGCGAAAGCAUUUGCCAAGGAUGUUUUCAUUAA